GUGUGUGGAAUAAAACACACAGUUACAAAGAGGAUUGUGACCCUGUAAGAGGGAAAGGCGACUACAACGAAAAAGGACUGCAAAAAGUAAGGAAGAGCAGUAGAAGUGAAGCAGGAAAGAGUGUCAAGGAACAUUGAUCCAGAGCAAGAAAAUGAAGUUAAAAGCCCGUUCGGCUGGAUGUUCCCUAACCUUUUUUACAAGAAGUGUUAGAGGAAAGACAUGUCGGUCUGGAUAAACAAACUGGGACGACGCACCUGCCGAAAACGUGUAUCUGAUCUAUCUAAACAAAUGUGUGUCUGUUUAUCCAUAUAUGCAUUUAUAUAGGGAGACCUAGAGCAUCCCAACAAUAAUUGCAAUCCUGCAUCGAAGAGGUUACCAUGGCCAACUAUGCCAAGGAACAAAGGGACUGGGAGACCUAAGAAAAUCUCAACAUAGAGAAGGAAGAGUACAGAUUCAAGAAGAAAGGACAUGGUCCGCAUUCUUACUCCUGCAGGAUCAGUCUCAUCUGUGUAUCAAUGCGCGCACACACAGGCACACCACAUAUGUCCUUUGAACUGCUUCUUGGCAAAUACUGCUUAAACAGCCAAUUGUGCCAAGGCAUCAUAUCAGUAACUCUACUAGUGCCAGGAGGGAAGAGUGAAGGACUGAGAUAGAGGGGUAUUAUCAACAUCUACAUUUGACUGCCUAUAAACCAACCAGGAACAUCUUCUUCAGUAAGAAUAAUGAAAUGUCAUCAUGCUAAGAGAUUUGGACCGGCUCUAUAAAUUAAACAGUAUGCGAUGACAGCCUUGAGGCGGCAUAUUCUGAAUCUUCUUUGAAGAAGGAACAGGAGGUUAUGAGAAGGAGAAUCGUUUCCCAAGUUAUUAGUCACACUAAGCUCAUUGUCUUCUUUCAUUCAAGGUCAGAAAUCAGUGUGACUUUUGGUAAGAUAAACGGUUUUAUAAAUAUUUGACUGCAUAAAAAAUAA